rnacentral:rRNA from 1 species
GAUGAACGCUAGCGGAAGGCUUAAUACAUGCAAGUCGAGCGGUAGGUGGCUUCGGCCAUUGAGAGCGGCGCACGGGUGAGUAACGCGUACAUGACCUGCCUGUCAGAAGGGGAUAGCCCUGGGAAACUGGGAUUAAUACCCUAUGGUAUUGAUAUUAUGAAUGAUAUCAAUUAAAGUUGAGGCGCUGACAGAUGGAUGUGCGUCUGAUUAGCUAGUUGGUAGGGUAACGGCCUACCAAGGCGACGAUCAGUAGGGGGCGUGAGAGCGUGGUCCCCCANACGGGUACUGAGACACGGACCCGACUCCUACGGGAGGCAGCAGUAAGGAAUAUUGGUCAAUGCCCGCAAGGGUGAACCAGCCAUUCCGCGUGGAGGAUGAAGGCCCUAUGGGUUGUAAACUUCUUUUAGAUGGGAAGAAAAUGCUAGAUGUAUCUGGUACUGACGGUACCAUCAGAAUAAGCACCGGCUAACUCCGUGCCAGCAGCCGCGGUAAAGU